rnacentral:pre_miRNA from 1 species
AAUAAGAUUAUUUUUCAUUUUUCCGUGUCCAAUGUUUGAUCAUUUAUUUUAUUUAAAAAAAUUACGAUUAAUAUUUUUGUUCUUACUAGAUGAUAAAACAUGAAUAGUACGUGACUAUUUUUUUAAAGUUUUUAUAUAAUUUUUUCAAAUAAGACGAAUGAUCAAACAUUAAACACGAAAAAAC